rnacentral:tRNA from 1 species
CAGUAAAUAGUUUAUUAAAAUGUAAGUUUUGGGAAUUUAAGAAAAGAUAUUUAUUCUUUUUACUGA